rnacentral:rRNA from 1 species
GAUGAACGCUGGCGGCGUGCCUAAUACAUGCAAGUCGAGCGAACAGAUGAGGAGCUUGCUCCUCUGACGUUAGCGGCGGACGGGUGAGUAACACGUGGAUAACCUACCUAUAAGACUGGGAUAACUUCGGGAAACCGGAGCUAAUACCGGAUAAUAUAUUGAACCGCAUGGUUCAAUAGUGAAAGACGGUUUUGCUGUCACUUAUAGAUGGAUCCGCGCCGCAUUAGCUAGUUGGUAAGGUAACGGCUUACCAAGGCGACGAUGCGUAGCCGACCUGAGAGGGUGAUCGGCCACACUGGAACUGAGACACGGUCCAGACUCCUACGGGAGGCAGCAGUAGGGAAUCUUCCGCAAUGGGCGAAAGCCUGACGGAGCAACGCCGCGUGAGUGAUGAAGGUCUUCGGAUCGUAAAACUCUGUUAUUAGGGAAGAACAAAUGUGUAAGUAACUAUGCACGUCUUGACGGUACCCAAUCAGAAAGCCACGGCUAACUACGUG